UAAGCAAACGCGUUAACGCGGCUGUUCGAGCAAUUCCUGCUAAAUUCGACGAGGCUCGUACCGAUCGCACUUAACCGAGUAAAAUAAUACGAGUCAGUCGACCCACAUUUCACCCAGAACUAAACGUCUGGCAAUGAGCUUCGCCCGUUUAGCGUCACGUUUCUGGAAAAAGCACGACAGGUUGAUGCAAUUACACCAUUGCACCUCGUCGCGUCGACUCAUCGCGUAAUAACUCAUUGUCCGUGUGUGCGUUGUUCCAAUUACGCUCCAUACGACUCCGUCCGCGCUACCACCGAUGCACAAAUGACGCUAGGUGUGUUCCGACUUCCGAUUCGUACAAUGCCCAUCGCGAAUCUCGUCGGAAGUCGGGACGAGGCGGAGUUGGGCAAACUCGAUUCGAAACCGAAGAAUGGAAAUUCCGCGUUUAUUCGCGAGAACGAAAACAAGCGGAGUCCUUCAGCGACUGACCUCCAAGAGCCCAAUAUGGAUUGCUCCAGGGUGAUCGGCUGAAAGACUGGUUCGCUUUUGUUGUCGCUGAUAGAUGUGGAUUUUCUUUGUUCGGCGGAAAAUUUGGCCCAGGUCUGGAGCAAGAUGGUGGACGGAAUCGUUUGAACCGUGCAUGUUGGCAACGAAAAGAUCCCUCGACCCCAAUCUCGAAUUCGCGUUCGUAUCUCGUAGGAUGGGGAGGACGCAAUCGGUUUCGCUUUCUUGUUUUUGCUCGAGGUCCCCAACGGCAAGAAUAGAAAACGUCGUUGUCCUCUUUCCAUUCUCGGCGGAAUUUGAAAAUGAGCCAGCGCGCGGUCUCGGCCAGCCACGCACUAGCUCUAUAAACUUUUGCUAAGUCCUAUCUCAUCGAUAUCCGAUAACAAUCGCAAAUACUGAAAUGUACGAACGAACAACGAGGAACUGAAAUUUCUCGAACAGAGAAGAAUCUCUGUUCGAGCUACGAAAUGGGGGAUCGCGGUGCAUGAGAAACGAGUAGCGCGAAAAAACGUACGCGAAUGACGUAAGACCAGAUAAGAUAUAAGGUAAUGUUCGGCGAGGUAAGAAUCUCGUGACGGCCGCCCUUAUAAGGAUGCAGCGCCCACGUGCGCGGCUCUCCGUUUACUGCGCGCUGGAUUUCGGACAAGGACUUCGCGCUUCGUCCAGAAUCUAGAUACUUUUUCAUUUCGUCGAACAACGGUCUGAAUUCUGAACGAAAAAAUGAAGACUCGACCAAGGCAAUGCAUUCCUUACAUGCUGUAGGAAAUAGCAAAUCUGUGCUUACAUAAAGUAUAAAUUGAUAUUCUACAGACUAAUUCUGUACUCUAUAUUGGAAUAAUUGUAUGUUCUAAAGGUUAUUGCUAAUAACUAGACUGCGGAUCUUUGUGCAUUCGUAGGAAAUUUGAAUGUGCAAGUACCUACAAAAUGCAAACGAUAUGCACGAAUAUAAAAAAAGAUUGAAAGUAAAGUUCACGUUAUAACAUUUGCAGAAUAAAAUAAAUUCUUACUUAGGUUCGAUUUUUGUAGGCACGUUCGCGAAGAUUUUAUUUUGCAUAAAGAUCCGCGGUCUACCAAUAACACUUGAAUAAAAGCUUCGGAAACAAACACCUCAACAACAGCUUGACUGAACCUUCUAUAUACCACUUUGUAUUUAAUCAAUUUUACCACCAACAAUAGAUCGAACCUUUUCCUUCGUAAUAUCAUAAAUAUCUUCUUAUUAUCAAUGUACUUUCGCGGAAAAUUCGUGGAGGGAAUGGCGAGUGCCCACGUGGCCCGUCAGGCACCCGCAGCGGAAUGCGUGUCGGCCACUUGUUGCGUCGAACGUUGCAUUACGUUCCUACCGCGUAAUAUCCACCCUCAGCCAUGAUUUUUCGUCUCGUCGAUGAUCGAACUAUUCAUCCAUCUGUCUAUUCUCGGCGCGUGCACGAGCAUACGCCGUGCCCGUGAAACGAGCAUGGCAAUCGCAUUAAUCGUCCGACGUGCAUGAAACGUUGUUAACGAGGAUACGGCAAUCGGCUCAGGAAUCAAGGGCAAUCGAAUUAUUUUCGCCUCCUCGAUAUUGGGUCAGCGAUCCGCUUUCUUCCCGUAGCCGAGGCCGCUUUUCCAAGAAAUCGUAACUUCCGAUAUCGAGGAUUUCGGAUCGUUGGACUUUUUUUCGAUCGAUCGUAAAAACACGAGGGCAAUAUCGACCGCGAGCUUUGGAGCCUUGUCAGCGUUGCUAGACUCUCCUUUCUUGGUGAGAAGUCUGACUCAUCCAAUACCGACGGCCGUAAACCGGCAAAUAAAAUCGCGUCGAUUAUCUUUCGAGAAACAAUGUUCCGACGGCUGAGUCUCUUCUAGGAAGGAUCGAAACACGUGCAACGCGCACCGCCAUUAAUCGAAGUUAGGGUUACCACCUGUACCUCUUAUGGAAGCGUUAAGAGGGGUUCGUGUGAGUCAGCGUUGGGCAAAUUUUAUUUUGAAUAAAGAAUCGGAAUUCCGGGCUUGUACGUAAUGUGCACGUGAAAUUUUGAUGAAAGGUACUUGCAAUUAUUCCUGAUAUCAAACUCGUUCGUUCUAGUCAUGAAACUUUGAUAUUCACUUCAAUGAAAAUAAACAGAUAUUAUACUUUAAAGAAUGAAGACUUCACCUGCUCCUCGCAAUAGUACAUCCCUCUUUCUUGUGACCACGGCCGGUAACCCUAACCGAAGUUCGAAGUUCGUUCGUCGUCCCCGUGCUCGACGAGACGCUCGAAAUGUCGCUUAAUUUUAGAUAUCGUUGCGUCCGUGAUUCCUCGCGAAACUUCCAACUUCGUCGCCCACCGACAUUUUCUCCGAGACGAAAAAAAGAGUAACCGUGCACGCGAACGCGCCCCGGUAUUGUCGAUAUCGAUCGUCUUGCGAUUGUAGCUGGCCUGCUAACGGACCGACGGAGUCUCGAACACGCGUGAAUAUGUUUCAUCCAAUUGAUCGAUUAUGCGAUGGAAUUAAAAAGUUAACCUUCAAGACUAAUCAACCUAGCAGCUUGUCCGAAAAGUCCAUGUCGAUGUUUGAAAUUGGCACGAACUUUCUGGACAACCUAAUAAUUUCUCGUUCGACCAUGGGGUUAAUUUAACUAACAAGAAAUUCAUAUCAAGAAAUCCUCCGAUUAGUAUUUAUAAAGUCUAGAAGUGUAAGUCUAAAAAGUCGAUUAAUAGGCCAACGGUCGGUAAAGUGUCGAGUAAAUACACGAAUAUUAAUUUAUCCACCUAG